rnacentral:misc_RNA from 1 species
CAUUUUGAAGCAAUUAAUCAUCAUUUAAUACCCCAACUGAAACCAAGCUUCACUUCUCUUCUUUCAUACGAUUCAACAAUCUUUCCUGGACAUCUAAAGAAAUAAUAUCCUUAUCCAGAAGAUAUUUUAUCAAUUGUUCUGCUUUGUCUAUAUCUCCCUCCCGUUUCAAGUGCUCCAGACAGGAAGCCAAACUUUCACUGGUUGGCUUCCACCCGGGUUUAGAAACUACUAUUGCUUUCUUCAUCAUCAGAUUUCAAAUGCUGUUGAAAUGAUGAAGGUAUCCUUGUGCCAUAUGAAACCAUGUAGAUGCGACAGGUUUCCCUCCUUUUGAUACUACCCUGUUGAUAAAUGUUUCAGCC